CCCAUCUUGCAGAGGGACACAGGUUAGCCUUGCUGCCUGCUGUUGAAACUUUUAGCAAUUCUGUUUUCAGUCAGGCACAGAGUGUUAAAACAAUAGAAAAAUAAAACAGUCCAAAUAAUGAAAAUAGUUAGAGAAACAAAUCUUGAGCGAUAACAAACGAAUAUCAUGGAAACCUGAAUAUAUACUGAUCAAUGGAUGGAAAAGACAGAUAGAGGCCCAGAGGUUUUGUGGUGCAGUGAGUAAUAGUGUCCCUGCUUCUGACCUGGAAGCUCUAGGACAUGACUUGAUGGCCGUGGAAGGUACUUUGGAAAUUGCUUCGAGGAAAAUAAGAAUUAAAGAGAAGAAUCAAAAAUUUCAAGAUGAAUUGCAUUCAUUCCAAACUCAACUGGAAUCCCUAUAUGUCUUGUUUGCCAUGAGAAA